rnacentral:rRNA from 1 species
GACGAACGCUGGCGGCGUGCCUAAUACAUGCAAGUCGAGCGGACGGAUGGGAGCUUGCUCCCAGACCGUCAGCGGCGGACGGGUGAGUAACACGUGGGCAACCUGCCUGUAAGACUGGGAUAACUCCGGGAAACCGGGGCUAAUACCGGAUAACUCUUUCCCUCACAUGAGGGAAAGCUGAAAGAUGGCAUCUCGCUAUCACUUACAGAUGGGCCCGCGGCGCAUUAGCUAGUUGGUGAGGUAACGGCUCACCAAGGCGACGAUGCGUAGCCGACCUGAGAGGGGGAUCGGCCACACUGGGACUGAGACACGGCCCAGACUCCUACGGGAGGCAGCAGUAGGGAAUCUUCCGCAAUGGACGAAAGUCUGACGGAGCAACGCCGCGUGAGUGAUGAAGGUUUUCGGAUCGUAAAACUCUGUUGUCAGGGAAGAACAAGUACCGGAGUAACUGCCGGUACCUUGACGGUACCUGACCAGAAAGCCACGGCUAACUACGUG